rnacentral:rRNA from 1 species
AUUGAACGCUGGCGGCAGGCCUAACACAUGCAAGUCGAGCGCGCGGCGGGCGGGUGAGAAAUGUGUGUGGACUUCCGGAUAGAGGGGGAUAACGACUGGAAACGGUAGCUAAUACCGCAUACUAUCGGAUAACCCAUAUGGGAGUAGCUAGUGGGUGGGGUAAUGGCUCACAACGGCGACGAUGCCUAGCUGGUCUGAGAGGAUGAUCAGCCACACUGGGACUGAGACACGGCCCAGACGCCUACGGAGGCAGCAGUGGGGAAUAUGGGGCAAUGGGCGCAAGCCUGAGGCAGCCAUGCCGCGUGUAUGAAGAAGGCCCUAGGGUUGUAAAGUACUUUCGGUCGGGAGGCGUUACCGACAGAAGAAGCACCGGCUAACUCCGUGCCAGCAGCCGCGGUAAUAC